CCUACGGGAGGCUGCAGUGGGGACUAUUGGGCAAUGGGCGCAAGCCUGACCCAGCAACGCCGCGUGAAGGAAGAAGGCUCUCGGGUUGUAAACUUCUUUUAUCAGGGACGAAGCAAGUGACGGUACCUGAUGAAUAAGCCACGGCUAACUCCGUGCCAGCAGCCGCGGUAAUACGUAGGUGGCAAGCGUUAUCCGGAUUUACUGAGUGUAAAGGGCGUGUAGGCGGGAAAGCAAGUCAGAUGUGAAAACCAUGGGCUCAACCUGUGGCCUGCAUUUGAAACUGUUUUUCUUGAGUACUGGAGAGGCAGACGGAAUGCCUAGUGUAGCGGGGAAAUGCGUAGAUAUGAGGAGGAACACCAGUGGCGAAGGCGGUCUGCUGGACAGCAACUGACGCUGAGGCGCGAAAGCGUGGGGAGCAAACAGGAUUAGAUACCCCAGUAGUC
rnacentral:rRNA from 1 species